GACGAACGCUGGCGGCGUGCUUAACACAUGCAAGUCGAACGGUAAGGCCCUUCGGGGUACACGAGUGGCGAACGGGUGAGUAACACGUGGGUGAUCUGCCCUGCACUUCGGGAUAAGCCUGGGAAACUGGGUCUAAUACCGGAUAGGACCACUGCCUGCAUGGGUGGGGGUGGGAAGCUUUUGCGGUGUGGGAUGGGGCCGCGGCCUAUCAGCUUGUUGGUGGGGUGAUGGCCUACCAAGGCGACGACGGGUAGCCGGCCUGAGAAGGUGACCGGCCACACUGGGAAUGAGAUACGGCACAGACUCCUACGGGAGGCAGCGGUGGGGAAUAUUGCACAAUGGGAGCAAGUCUAAUGCAGCGACGCAGCGUGAGGGAUGCAGGCCUUGGGGUUGUAAACCUCUUGCAGCACAGACGAAGCGCAAGUGACGGUAGGUGCAGAAGAAGGACCGGCCAACUACGUGCCAGCCGCCGCCGUAA
rnacentral:rRNA from 1 species